CGAGGACAGUUUUCUCACUAAUCUUAAUUUUUGCUGCCCUUUUUGCUGAUAUAAUCAGUAUUUGCAGUAAAAUUGAGUUUAGGAUAGUACCAAGAUCUGCACCAGAAGUUUUAAAGAAACGUCAGUACUCCGUAAAAAGUGAUGUGCACCAAUGGGGAUUGAUGACCUUAGAGCUCAGUGAAGCAAGAUUUAGCAAGUCUAGUCCUGGUGGACAUACAGGAGCACUUAAUUUUGAUACUUUGGAAACUAGUUUUGAUUUAUCCAAACUACAAAAGUCUAAAGGCAUAAAGGAGAAACUUUUUCAACUUGUACAAAAAUGCUUAUGUACAAACGAAAAUCAGAGACCAUCAAUGGAAGAGAU
rnacentral:sRNA from 1 species